AGUAGGGUUGGGCUAAAAAAUCCUUAGGAUAGGAUAGAAUGAUACCCGAGGGUCGACCGUUUGUGAGACAGGGUCAAAAUCAGACCUCUUGCAACUAAAAUGAUGGCCUAGGGCAAAAUAGGGUUUCAUUCGAAGAUUGGAGGUUAGGAUCUGAGAGCUAGCUUAAAGUUCAUUCCAAAGACAUAAGAAUUGUUUUGAGAGGGUUUUGGAAGACUUAGCAAUUGUUGUUCAAAGUCAAGGUUUGUAUCAGUGAUUUGGAUUUAUAUAAUAUAAUUAGGCUAGCAAUUUUGGCUAAUUUGUGCAAUUGGCAUGACAUCUAUAGUUGAAAAUUUGAUAUUAUUUGGAUUACUAGGUGUGCUAAGUGUAUGAAAAAUUUUGUGACAGUCUAACAACGUGAUUUAGAGAUAUCUAGUUUUUAGCAUAAGAGAAUUUCAGAAGGUGGCAGUUUGAGGUUGGGUAGGGUUUCUAUGAUACUUGAAGAUCCAUCAAUCGGAUUAAGGUGAAAAUUGGCAUGGUGUUGGAUGACUUAAAGAUCAAGCUACAUACCAAUUUUGAAACAAAGUUAACGGUUAAGGGAGGAGAAAUCAUUGCUGGGAUUUUUGCUUCUUUUUUCAAGUUGGUGGUUGAGUGAAAUUGGUGCAAUUUUUGGAGGUUUUCUCACAAUUUGUAAGUUGGAUUGGACUAAAAAUUCUUGAGCAU
rnacentral:lncRNA from 1 species